CACGUAGGGUGCGAGCGUUGUCCGGAUUUAUUGGGCGUAAAGGGCCCGUAGGCGGUUUGGUAAGUCGGGUGUGAAAACUCCGGGCUCAACCCGGAGAUGCCACCCGAUACUGCUAUGACUUGAGUCUGGUAGGGGAGUGCGGAAUUCCUGGUGUAGCGGUGAAAUGCGCAGAUAUCAGGAGGAACACCGGUGGCGAAGGCGGCACUCUGGGCCAGUACUGACGCUGAGGGGCGAAAGCGUGGGGAGCAAACAGG
rnacentral:rRNA from 1 species